GACAGAGGGGGCAAGCGUUGCUCGGAAUCACUGGGCGUAAAGGGCGCGUAAGCGGGAUGGCAAGUCAGUCGUGAAAUCUCUCGGCUCAACCGAGAAACGUCGGCUGAUACUGCCGUUCUUGAGGGAUGCAGAGGAGACUGGAAUUCCCGGUGUAGCGGUGAAAUGUGUAGAGAUCGGGAGGAACACCGGUGGCGAAGGCGGGUCUCUGGGCAUUUCCUGACGCUGAGGCGCGAAAGCGUGGGGAGCAAACGGG
rnacentral:rRNA from 1 species